rnacentral:rRNA from 1 species
CACGUAGGGUGCGAGCGUUGUCCGGAAUUAUUGGGCGUAAAGAGCUCGUAGGCGGUGUGUCGCGUCGGCCGUGAAAACCUGCAGCUUAACUGUGGGCGUGCGGUCGAUACGGGCAUCACUGGAGUUCGGCAGGGGAGACUGGAAUUCCUGGUGUAGCGGUGAAAUGCGCAGAUAUCAGGAGGAACACCGGUGGCGAAGGCGGAUCUCUGGGCCGAUACUGACGCUGAGGAGCGAAAGCGUGGGGAGCGAACAGG